ACGAACGCUGGCGGCGUGCCUAAUACAUGCAAGUAGAACGCUGAAGAGAGGAGCUUGCUCUUCUUGGAUGAGUUGCGAACGGGUGAGUAACGCGUAGGUAACCUGCCUUGUAGCGGGGGAUAACUAUUGGAAACGAUAGCUAAUACCGCAUAACAAUGGAUGACACAUGUCAUUUAUUUGAAAGGGGCAAUUGUUCCACUACAAGAUGGACCUGCGUUGUAUUAGCUAGUAGGUGAGGUAAUGGCUCACCUAGGCGACGAUACAUAGCCGACCUGAGAGGGUGAUCGGCCACACUGGGACUGAGACACGGCCCAGACUCCUACGGGAGGCAGCAGUAGGGAAUCUUCGGCAAUGGGGGCAACCCUGACCGAGCAACGCCGCGUGAGUGAAGAAGGUUUUCGGAUCGUAAAGCUCUGUUGUAAGUCAAGAACGGGUGUGAGAGUGGAAAGUUCACACUGUGACGGUAGCUUACCAGAAAGGGACGGCUAACUACGUGCCAGCAGCCGCGGUAAUACGUAGGUCCCGAGCGUUGUCCGGAUUUAUUGGGCGUAAAGCGAGCGCAGGCGGUUUGAUAAGUCUGAAGUUAAAGGCUGUGGCUCAACCAUAGUUCGCUUUGGAAACUGUCAAACUUGAGUGCAGAAGGGGAGAGUGGAAUUCCAUGUGUAGCGGUGAAAUGCGUAGAUAUAUGGAGGAACACCGGUGGCGAAAGCGGCUCUCUGGUCUGUAACUGACGCUGAGGCUCGAAAGCGUGGGGAGCGAACAGGAUUAGAUACCCUGGUAGUCCACGCCGUAAACGAUGAGUGCUAGGUGUUGGAUCCUUUCCGGGAUUCAGUGCCGCAGCUAACGCAUUAAGCACUCCGCCUGGGGAGUACGACCGCAAGGUUGAAACUCAAAGGAAUUGACGGGGGCCCGCACAAGCGGUGGAGCAUGUGGUUCAAUUCGAAGCAACGCGAAGAACCUUACCAGGUCUUGACAUCCCGAUGCUAUUUCUAGAGAUAGAAAGUUACUUCGGUACAUCGGUGACAGGUGGUGCAUGGUUGUCGUCAGCUCGUGUCGUGAGAUGUUGGGUUAAGUCCCGCAACGAGCGCAACCCCUAUUGUUAGUUGCCAUCAUUCAGUUGGGCACUCUAGCGAGACUGCCGGUAAUAAACCGGAGGAAGGUGGGGAUGACGUCAAAUCAUCAUGCCCCUUAUGACCUGGGCUACACACGUGCUACAAUGGUUGGUACAACGAGUUGCGAGUCGGUGACGGCGAGCUAAUCUCUUAAAGCCAAUCUCAGUUCGGAUUGUAGGCUGCAACUCGCCUACAUGAAGUCGGAAUCGCUAGUAAUCGCGGAUCAGCACGCCGCGGUGAAUACGUUCCCGGGCCUUGUACACACCGCCCGUCACACCACGAGAGUUUGUAACACCCGAAGUCGGUGAGGUAACCUUUUGGAGCCAGCCGCCUAAGGUGGGACAGAUGAUUGGGGUG
rnacentral:rRNA from 1 species